rnacentral:rRNA from 1 species
AUUGAACGCUGGCGGCAUGCUUUACACAUGCAAGUCGAACGGUAACAGGCCUUCGGGUGCUGACGAGUGGCGAACGGGUGAGUAAUGCAUCGGAACGUGCCCAGAGGUAGGGGAUAACGCAGCGAAAGCUGUGCUAAUACCGCAUGUGAUCUGAGGAUGAAAGCGGGGGACCAGGCAGCAAUGUUAGGCCUCGCGCCUUUGGAGCGGCCGAUGUCAGAUUAGGUAGUUGGUGGGGUAAAGGCCUACCAAGCCGACGAUCUGUAGCUGGUCUGAGAGGACGACCAGCCACACCGGGACUGAGACACGGCCCAGACUCCUACGGGAGGCAGCAGUGGGGAAUUUUGGACAAUGGGCGCAAGCCUGAUCCAGCAAUGCCGCGUGCGGGAAGGAGGCCUUCGGGUUGUAAACCGCUUUUGUACGGAACGAAAAGGCUCUGGCUAAUACCUGGGGCUGAUGACGGUACCGGAAGAAUAAGCACCGGCUAACUACGUG